UUAGCCUGUAAUAGCCGAUUUUGAGCUGCAUUUUUCUGUAAGAAAAGCAAAUCAACAAGUUUUUCCUGAGGGCUGGAAAAUGCCAAGAGCUGUAACAUACUUCUUUUCAAGUUUGUCUUCAGAGAUGUGAGGACAAUUCAACAGUAAAGCUGGAUUGUGACUAAACAUAUCUGCUGGGGAGAUACUUGAUCAGAAUGACUUGGUACAUGCUCUUUGCACUUUGAGAGACAUAUUCUCCAGUGAAAAUUGACAGAACAAUUUCAGCAGACAUAAAAACCUCCUGAAUUUGCACAAGGCCUGCAGAUGCUCCUGCCACAGAGAGGUGAUUUCCCUGCUUCAGACACCAGAAUAUCCAUGCAAAGCAUCUGCUGAAUUAAAGUCCAGGAGAGAAGAAGCUGGCAAAGAAGGCAGGGACACAGAUGAAGACAGAGAGAGCCAGUGUCUUUUUCCUUUCAACUGUUGGCACCUUCUACCAGCACACCUGCUCCAUGUCCCCAACAUCUGAUGAGCUGAUUUGAUGAACCUGUUCUCAUAGGCUUGUUCUCAUAUUUUGAGGUGACAUGUAUCAGGUCUAGGGCUGCAUUCAUCCUAUACCUGGAGCAACAGAAGUAGACUUGCAGGUGACUGAUUUCCCCUGUCUUUCAAAAUUGGGCGUCUCUAGAGGACAGUUCACAUGUUGGGUGGGACAUAUCAACAUCUUUUUUGAAUCAACUAAGGCUAGUUUUGCAAAAUAUUGUUCCAAAAUCAUCUGUCUAUACUGACAAUUCAGGCAGUUUGGGAAGUCUUGCCAAGGAAAUGGACCACCAAGUCACUACACCUAAAGAAACCAGGCAGUGAAAACAUUUCUGCCCUUUUCCCAGCAAAUGGUAUUUGAAGGCAGUUAGAAAAGCAUCUUUCAAUCCCUUUGCACUGAAGAUGAGGGUGGGUGCUCACUGACAUUGUCAGAUGCCAACCAGUAAUGCAUUUCUGUCAAGAUCAAUAGGAGUUGGCAAGGUAACACUUUUCACAUUCUGUGAAGUAGAAGCUUCUCUUUCUAAGCUGGCCAUUAAAUGCUUGAGGAUCUAAAUCUCCCUGAAAACCCCAUUUCUUGGCAGUUAAGUUGCUUUUCAAAAUGGUGUAUUUGGGACCCUAAGUCAUUUUUCAGAAUGCCUUUUUGAAAAGUGGGGAUUGUAAAUCCUCUUAGAUGCUGCUUGUGACCACAAUAUGUAGGGGAGGGCCAAGAAAAUUUGAUUACCUAUUUGUUGAGCAUGUUCUUAGGCAGAACAAGUGCAGAGAGUAAUUUUAUUUAGCUUGAAGUAUCUGGUAAACAUAAAGAGAAAAAGAGCUCUGCAGUUGGACAGGUCUUAUCUCAGUAUCUUUAUUUACAUAUUCAAAGAACACUGACGCAAUCAAGCUACCAAAAGAACUGCUUUCCAUCAGCCUGGGAACAGAAACAAAUUAGUCUUUAAUAGUGUUGUGUGAAAACUCUGGUGAAUGUUAUGUAAAACUGUGCAAACAGAAUGUUUGUGUUCUAGUUCCAGGUCAUUUAGUGGGCAAAAAGACAGACAUUUUGUGUGAAAUAGCCAUGAAGUGGUUUGCUAUUAUAUAAGGAUAGGAACUGCUAGAUCAAACUAAUGGUGACAAGCCGAGAACCAGAUGCUUCAAAGCAAAAUGCAAGACAUCCCAGUGUGGAUAAUUAUGAAAUAGUCUGACCAUAGGGGAAAUUUCUGCAUAAAUGACUUUAGUCCUAAAAGGCUACAUGUUUGUAUUGCUUCUGAAAAGGUUUAGUCUGAUUUCCCACAGACACAGGGCUUAUGCAACCAGCAAGCUGCCUGGCUGUGCAAAUCUCUGACUCCCUCCCUCUCUGUCUACUCCCCCAUCUCCAGAAACCUCUGAACACGUCCACACUCUGCCACAUGGAGCAGAGAGGAGCAGGUCUCACAAACAGUAAAUUUCCUCACAAACAGUUAAUUUCCUACAGGUUUCAUGAAUAUAACCUGCUCCCUAGUGAGCACAGACAGGUAAUCAUGCCAGCUCAAGGUGAGCUUACACCUCAUUAGAAACCAGAGAAAGCACACAGGAGAGCAUCUUAUAAAUGUUCCAUCUGUGGCAAAAGAUUCAACCAUGGCUCUCCAUCAACAUGAGAUGCAAGUCCUGGGUAGCCACUGGCACUAAUGGUGCUAUCUCUUUCUCCUGCUGAUCCUAACUGUGGACAUCCCAAGGAUUUAAUACAAAUGCUUAACUCUUUGUUACUGAACAUGUUCUCAGCUUUUACAACCUCCAGGAGCAAUGAGUGCCAGUUGAAUAAAUUGCAGACAGGACAUUUCUUUUAGGUACCCGAAAUCUACGGAUUUCCUUGUAGCUCUUCCCAUAAAGCAGCUGGGCUUAAUUAGUGCAUGAUGCUCUUUAUGGGCCAGCAGGCUAAUUUGUAAAUUAUUUAGAAGUAAGUUGAAGGCAAUCUCCUGCCCCUCGGGAACGCUACAAUUAAUUGCUUCAAGGUGUUGAAACCUUGUCUCUGCCACACUGGGCUGGCUGACCCCUCUCUGGAGUCAAAACCAUGCUAGAAAAUUUAUCUUCUCUCUCUAGGCAGACCAGGACAGGGCCACUCCAUGACAUCCAUCUUUUUCACACUGGGAUUCUGUGGAGUCCUCAGGAUGAAGAUACAGGGUCUUCAAAGCUUGGCCCUCUUCUCAAGGACCUGGGCCACAGGGAGCUGCCCCAUGCCAAUCUUGCAGUGCCCCUUGCACUGUCAAAUGCCACAUCUGGUACCUCUUCUUCAUCACCUUAACAGCAGCAUGAACUAAAUGAAACCUCUGAGGAGAAGAUCCGUGGUCCCUGCCAUCAUGCUCACAUUGCCCCUGGUGGUGUUUAAUAUUGAACAAAAGUCACAAUAGGAAGUUCUGAGGUGGGAAAGUGGGUGCUCUGAGCUAGAAGGAGAUAUGUAUAUGUGUUUCCCACAAAAUCCAGCAGCUAGUAUAACAUUGCUAAUGGGGGUGAUGUAUUCAUAGAUAUUUUGACACCUUCUCAAGGCAAUCUGAUUUCAAUUGCAAUUGCACAACUCGCCUUUUACUUUCCACUAAUGUUUGUGCAAGGACUUUAUUGUUCCUAGGAGCAGUAUUACGAAGGAACUUUGACACACCCACCUCUGGGCUGCUUGCUCCUAAAAUUAAGUAAGCAAAAUAAAAUUAAUCUAUAUUUAAUUUGGAAGCCCCAAAUGAUUUAUAAGAUGAACCAACUUGUCAGGGACAGUCAGAACUGGCAAGUAAUAUGUCAUGUCUGAGAUGGUGGAUUACACGAUUCAGCUGCUUGACUGAAACCCUCAAAUAUGCAGGAAAACAUAGCUCUGGAGCCUGUUUAGGCAAGAUGUUAAUUGAAUAAGUCCAGAAAUUCACACCGUAUAUACUUUGUCCUCACAGUGAGCAGAGCCAUGUGUUCAUUCAGUUUUCUUGGAGCUGUGGCUUUGAUUCACCCAGAGGUGCUGAAAUAACCAGCGGCCUGAGAGACGAGCAGCAAAGCCCUGCAGGUCAGAAGGGACACAGACCCUGGGAAGUCCAAAGGACUGAUGGCAGUUCUUACCAGUUUCUUUCUGAAACAAGGCUCUGAAGAAUUUUGCUUGGUCCUUUUGUGAACUAGCUGAGUGUCACGUGUUUUUGACAAGACGACCUCUUUGAUGUAACACUGUGCUUCUCUGGGAAGCCAAUAUCAGGUUGUUAUUUUCCAUACCUUCUCUUGUACAUUUGUGUCCAUGCGUGCAAUAUACUCAGUGUUCCAGUCUUCUCUUGCAUGUCUACCACAGAUCCUUGUUUCUACACUCUCACAUAAUCUAUUUAAAGGGUGAUAUUUUUGGCUUUUAAGAGCGGUGUUAACAAGGAUCAGAUGCUGCCAUCACUUAGGAAAGAGCGAGCUUUCCUUUGCCAGUUGUACU